rnacentral:piRNA from 1 species
UCGAAGCAUUUCUUGCCACACGAAUCCUGA